rnacentral:rRNA from 1 species
UACGGGGGGGGCAAGCGUUGUGCGGAAUUACUGGGCGUAAAGGGCUCGUAGGCGGCCAACUAAGUCAGACGUGAAAUCCCUCGGCUUAACCGGGGAACUGCGUCUGAUACUGGAUGGCUUGAGUUUGGGAGAGGGAUGCGGAAUUCCAGGUGUAGCGGUGAAAUGCGUAGAUAUCUGGAGGAACACCGGUGGCGAAGGCGGCAUCCUGGACCAACACUGACGCUGAGGAGCGAAAGCCAGGGGAGCAAACGGG